rnacentral:rRNA from 1 species
UGACCUCGGAUCAUGUAGGAAUUCCCGCUGAACUUAA